rnacentral:ribozyme from 1 species
CCCUCCACCUCCUGGCAGUUGAACAUCCCAAAGGCGUAGCUGGAGAUAGUCGGGAGCAGCGCAAAAAUGAACACAAAGUUCAAA